UAAAACAUUUUACAGUUAUAGUAAAGGCGAUUGAAACAUCUUUUUGGAGUAAUAUUUCUAGUACCGCAAGGGAACAAUGAAAUAAAAAUGAAAUAACUAUCAAGCACCUAGUAGUAGAGACCUCCCCUCGUACCUUUUGCAUCAUGAUUUAACUAGUUUAUCCAAGCAUAAUGCACUAAAGUUUGCCCCCCCGAAACUAAGCGAGCUACUUCGAGGCAGUUCCAGGAACUAACCCAUCUCUGUAGCAAAAGAGUGGGAAGACCUUCAAGUAGAGGUGACAGACCUAACGAGCUUAGUGAUAGCUGGUUACUUGAGAAAAGGAUCUUAGUCCGACCCAACUUUUACAAAAUACACCUAAAUAAAAACUAAAAUUUGGAGUAAUUCAAAUAAGGUACAGCCUAUUUGAAUCAGGAUACAACCUUUUUAAAUGGGUAAUUAAACUUUUAUGUAAUAA
rnacentral:rRNA from 1 species